CCUAGUGUAGCGGUGAAAUGCGUAGAUAUUAGGAGGAACACCAGUUGCGAAGGCGGCUCUCUGGACUGUAACUGACGCUGGGGCACGAAAGCGUGGGGAGCAAACAGGAUUAGAUACCCUGGUAGUCCACGCUGUAAACGAUGAGUACUAGGUGUCGGGGGUUACCCCCCUCGGUGCCGCAGCUAACGCAUUAAGUACUCCGCCUGGG
rnacentral:rRNA from 1 species